rnacentral:rRNA from 1 species
UACAGAGGUCUCAAGCGUUGUUCGGAAUCACUGGGCGUAAAGGGUGCGUAGGCCGCACGGAAAGUCAGAGGUGAAAUCCCGGAGCUCAACUCCGGAAUUGCCUCCGAUACUCCCGUGCUUGAGGACUGGAGAGGAGUCUGGAAUUCACAGUGGAGCAGUGAAAUGCGUAGAUAUUGUGAGGAACACUAGUGGCGAAGGCGAGACUCUGGACAGUUCCUGACGCUGAGGCACGAAGGCCAGGGGGAGCAAACGGG